GCUCAGUGGUAGAGUGCAUGCUUACCAUGCGUGAGGUCCUGGGUUCAAUCCCCAG
rnacentral:tRNA from 1 species